rnacentral:lncRNA from 1 species
AGCAAAAUUCUCAUGGUAGGAAUCAGAUCUAACUUAACAUUUUGAGCAACAGAACUGACCUGUGGAAGAUUCACUAGGUGUCUAACUCUAGAUACCCUCUCCCUUCCCUUUGAAAAGAACUGUGAGUAGGCAAGACUGGCCUGAGAACGUUGCUGAAAUGGGGGCAGUUCUUCAGCGAAUAGCUGUGACACUAUUAUACAUUAAAGAAUAAAAUCCCCACAUUUUAUUCUAUUCUUUAAAAAGGAAUACACUAGAUUGGCAGUUCACAUGGUGACCUCUUCAAGGGUCAAAUGGGUCUUUCACAGGGGUCACCCAAGACCAUUGGGAAGCACAGAUAUUUACAUUACAGUUCCUAACAGUAGCAAAAGUACAGUUGUGGAGUAGCAAGAAAAAUAAUUCUAUGGUUGGGGGCUACCACAACAUAAGGAACUGUAUUAAAGGGUCACAGCAUUAGGAAGGUUGAGAACUGUCGAGAACCACUGCACCAGAUAGAGAAAAGUAGGGCAGUUUGGGUUUCUUUCAGGUGUGUAUGGUUCCAAAGAACAAGUUUCUUAACUAUACAACUCUUCUUGCUUUCCAAGUUAAAUCUGAUGAGGGGCUGAUGAGAUGAGGUCUGAAGAGAUGACUCAGUGGUUAAGAGAAGCUACUGAUCUUGUGGAGGCCCCACAGUCUAUCCCCAGACCUCUUGAGGCAGCUCACGACUGCUGUAACUCCAGCUCUAGGGGACCUAAGCUAUCAGAGGGCAGCAGCACUCAGGUGCACAUGCCUACACAUAGACACAUAAAAUAAAUGUAAAAACGAGAUCUCUGUAUACUUCUGUAAAUUAAGUGAAAAAGAUCCCAAACGGCACAGUCUCUGAAUUAUCAGGUGUCAGCUGGCGUACUCAUUAGAAGCUUGCCAGAAGAGAUCCUAAAACAUAGUCUCUACCUUCUGUAGCAAGGAGCUGCAAUCACAGGGUGGUGACCUUCCCCGUCCAUCUCGUAUUUUCUUGGCAGAGUUUAUGUUUUUAACCCGUGUGCUUUUAACUUUUUUUUGUAGGUCCAGAGGUGUUAUCUGGAAAAGUGGGCUUCUGGCCCUGUUUGUGUUCAUCCUGUUUCUUUGCACCGAGAGAAGCCCAAACACAUACACAAAGCUGAACUCAAACCUUCCUAUUGUUUUUCCCUAGAGGACAUCCCCACUUUCAGCUUCACUUCAGGGAGCACAGACUGUGUGUGGUCUUAGUGACCUCUCAGCUCCCUGGAGACAGUAGCUAGGGUCUCCUUGACUUAGCUGGGCUUUCUCAGGCAUUCACGCCUGGGUGGGAGUCACUUUCUUCUAGAGGAACCCAAACAGUAGGCCUUGGCAGAGUGUCCUUGAGACAGUAUGUGUGAGCCUGUGUGUCUUCCCUUAGAAGUAUGUGUGACUGGCCUUGAAAAUGCUGUGGGCUUUGAAUGAGGUUUCCCUGGGAAGACAUGGCUCUCGGUUGUAACACCGUGUCUGCAGGUCCGUGAUCCUGCAAUUAAGGGACACCAUGGCUUCAUUUUCAGGGCAUCUGGUUUAAAGGCACAGUUAAAAGAAUUUGUGUUGGUGGUUCCCUUAAUUUCUAAAAUACGGCUGUCUGUGGCUUCAUCCAUCUGGAUACUUGUAUUGAGUAUUUUAUUGCCACAUAGAAAGAAGGUUUAAACACGAGGAGGACUCACUCACUUCUCCUGUCUGAACAGAUCGUUGAUACCAUGUAGCUUCACCACACUAGUUCAUCUCUCUUGAAAACAAGACAUCAUAGUUUAUUGGUAUUAUUUUUUUUUUUACCAGCCCCAAAGUAAGACCAAGAUUUACAUCAGAGACAAAUAACUGUAUAAUAGUUAUAAUAACAAAUAACUGUAAAGCGGGAACGGGUGUUUCCAGAACACUUGGUACUUGGCGCAGCACUUACCUGUAGUUCCCAGGUUGUGCCCCAGUGUUUUCUUCCUCUGCUUUAAUGAUCAUAGGAGCUGCUUUGGUGAUCUUCGAGACGUGCCAGUGGAACUGUUUAGGAAGCACUUUGCCAAGGCCCUUCCCAGCUCUGAUGCAGUCUCUUGGCUGAGGACCAGGUUCUCAUACCCAGGGCGGUGACCUUCCAGGUCACCCUCUUGUUUGCUUAUGAAAAUGAGGCUCCCAGGGAAUUAAUUGUUUCUUCCUGGCUACCUCCAGAGGACUGGGAGGAAUGUUAGAAUUCUAGUAUAGAUUCCCAGUGGGACUUUAUAGUUUAUUGUUUGCUCACCUU